UGGGGCAUAGUAUAACGGUAGUACUAUGGACUCUGGAUCCAUCAGUCUAGGUUCGAAUCCUAGUGCCCCAGCCA
rnacentral:tRNA from 1 species